GAACAUUUUCCUGCAUUCUCCUGCUUGCUGCAGACGUUACUCCAGAUGUACCUGCAUUCUCAUGAACUGGAAAAAGUGAAAAAGAUGAAGCAUCCCCAGGAUUGCCUGCGCUAUCUUCUAGGAAAGGACUCUUCUGCAAAUCUGCGUGCUUCUCUUCAUUUGCCUCCUCACAACAGUUUGCAUCCUUUGAACUAGCAACCAAGUCAGGGUCUGAAAGAACUACCUUUGGACUUUCUUUCUCUCUAUAUUCACCAUUUUCUUCAGUUUUCUUCUCCUCCUCUCCAAAAUCACUCUCAUAGAAAGUGUGAUCCACUUCACCAUCUGACGUGUCUUCAAAUUGGUCCAUACUUACUGAAGUGCUUCAGGCAGACAGAAGAGCCGGUUACCACUCCGCACCGCCUCCAACCGGACCCGCAGCCCCUUCUCAGCUA
rnacentral:lncRNA from 1 species